rnacentral:rRNA from 1 species
GACGAACGCUGGCGGCGUGCUUAACACAUGCAAGUCGAACGGAAAGGCCCUGCUUUUGUGGGGUGCUCGAGUGGCGAACGGGUGAGUAACACGUGAGUAACCUGCCCUUGACUUUGGGAUAACUUCAGGAAACUGGGGCUAAUACCGGAUAGGAGCUCCUGCUGCAUGGUGGGGGUUGGAAAGUUUCGGCGGUUGGGGAUGGACUCGCGGCUUAUCAGCUUGUUGGUGGGGUAGUGGCUUACCAAGGCUUUGACGGGCAGCCGGCCUGAGAGGGUAACCGGCCACAUUGGGACUGAGAUACGGCCCAGACUCCUACGGGAGGCAGCAGUGGGGAAUAUUGCACAAUGGGCGGAAGCCUGAUGCAGCAACGCCGCGUGCGGGAUGACGGCCUUCGGGUUGUAAACCGCUUUCGCCUGUGACGAAGCGUGAGUGACGGUAAUGGGUAAAGAAGCACCGGCUAACUACGUG